ensembl:snRNA U6 U6 spliceosomal RNA
CUUGCUUCAGCAGUUUAUACUAAAAUUGGAAUGACACAGGGAAGAUCAGCAUGGCUCCUGAGCAAGGCUGACACACUAAUUCACAACGUAUUCCAUCUUAGU